rnacentral:rRNA from 1 species
CGGUUCUUUUUGUUGGUUUCUAGGACCGCCGUAAUGAUUAAUAGGGACAGUCGGGGGCAUCAGUAUUCAAUUGUCAGAGGUGAAAUUCUUGGAUUUAUUGAAGACUAACUACUGCGAAAGCAUUUGCCAAGGAUGUUUUCAUUAAUCAGGAACGAAAGUUAGGGGAUCGAAGACGAUCAGAUACCGUCGUAGUCUUAACCAUAAACUAUGCCGACUAGGGAUCGGACGAUGUUACAUUUUUGACGCGUUCGGCACCUUACGAGAAAUCAAAGUGCUUGGGCUCCAGGGGGAGUAUGGUCGCAAGGCUGAAACUUAAAGAAAUUGACGGAAGGGCACCACCAGGGGUGGAGCCUGCGGCUUAAUUUGACUCAACACGGGGAAACUCACCAGGUCCAGACACAAUGAGGAUUGACAGAUUGAGAGCUCUUUCUUGAUUUUGUGGGUGGUGGUGCAUGGCCGUUCUUAGUUGGUGGAGUGAUUUGUCUGCUUAGGUGCGAUAACAAAAGAGACCUUAACCUGCUAAAUAGACCGUAUUGCAUUGGCAGCACUCCGGCUUCUUAAAAGGACUAUCGCCUCGGGCCGAUGGAGGGUUGAAGGAAGAAUAAGUUUGUUUUUAAAAUUUUAUGUUCUGAGACGCCCGCACGCUCCCCUCAAAGAUGCCGCUUUUUGCUCACUACGGGGGGACAGAAAGCCCCCCCUUUUUUGUC